rnacentral:sRNA from 1 species
CUCCCACUUCAGCACUGCCAACCUGCCUACUGCUGCCAAUCUGUCUACUGCUGCCAACCUAUCUACCGCGGUGAAUCUAUCUAUCAUUACUAGUUCAAAAUAGGACUAGAGCAUAAAUACGCUAAACUUCUUUUGAUAGGUAACAAUUUUUAGUAAUGCUCAUAGCGCAGAAGUGAGAUAUAUGAUUAAUAGACUGUAUUCAUUUUCACUUUUCUGGCUUCCAAGAAAUCAUUUCUGAAUCAUUGAUCAAAUUGCACAAAUUGAAGUGAAAAUAAAUAAAUAAAUAAAAAUAAAAAAAAAUUCAUGACAAAUCCCUCAAUAUUUUGGUAAACUACUAGGAUCUCAAUCCUUCGUAAUGAGAAUACCGCGGCAUACCUGCGUAACUCCACGCCGUUAGGACCCAGAAGUAUUGGCAAACGCCAGUCUGACCCGGAUAUCUUAGCAACAAUGUGACAGUAAUUCAGGGAAUAUUUCCCGCCGACUGGAACUAGCUUACCCUUGAACCAAUCUAGAAGCGGCAGGAUCGACAGCUCGUUGCCCACGGCGUUCAGAGGAGUGUCAACCUUUACGCCAUGUUACGAAACUCGGAUUUGAACUGAAAUGCUACCCAAAGGGAGCAGACAGGCAGCUGAUAUUUACAAAAAUAGCAGCAAGCUUCGGAACGGGAAAGCCAGCCUCCAGCAAUCAAUGUUUAAGCCCCUGUUGAAAGGAGUCUCUAACCCAGCCACUUGGAUGGAAGCGACUUGGGGGCGAAGGCAAGGGGAAUAUCUAAUUUCACACCAGGGC